UACAGAGGUCUCAAGCGUUGUUCGGAUUCAUUGGGCGUAAAGGGUGCGUAGGCGGGUCUUUAAGUCAGGGGUGAAAUCCUGGAGCUCAACUCCAGAACUGCCUUUGAUACUGAAGAUCUUGAGUUCGGGAGAGGUGAGUGGAACUGCGAGUGUAGAGGUGAAAUUCGUAGAUAUUCGCAAGAACACCAGUGGCGAAGGCGGCUCACUGGCCCGAUACUGACGCUGAGGCACGAAGGCCAGGGGAGCAAACGGG
rnacentral:rRNA from 1 species